CAACUGGGCGAUGUCAGCCGUCACCAUUUGUUAACCGGUUCCAGGGACUAAAUUGUAUAACACUAUAACAUCUUUGAUGGUCAGGGGACCGAUCUGACAUUUCCAUAUCGUUGAAAGAGGUUUAGUCAUUUGAAAAAAUGGGAAAACCGGAAAACAAAAGAAAUUACAAUCUUGUUGAGCCACAAGAUGCAUGGUGAUGCUGCACCUGUUUGAGCCAUGCUACCAAUAGCAACUGCAUUGCACCCAAACACCCAAAGCUUUGAACAACACUACCGGAACCUUUGCAACACGCUCUUGUCCCUCACCCAUUCUCGCUCCCUUCCAAAGGGGCUUCAGCUCCACGCCCAUAUCCUCAAGACUGGCCUCAACUCCGUUCCUUUCCUCUCCCAUCACCUUAUUAACUUCUACUCGAAAACUUGCCUCCCCCACUUCUCCCACAAAGUGUUUGACGAAAGUCCCCAUAGAACCCUCGGCACAUGGAGUUCCUUAAUCUCUUCUUUCGCCCAAAAUGAACUCCCAUUGCUUGCUCUACACUCAUUUCGCCGCAUGAUCCUUAAUGGGGUCCGUCCAAAUGACUACACCUUCCCUAGUGCCACCAAGUCAUGCGCCAUAUUGGGCGAUCCCCACGUCGGAGAAUCAGUGCAUUGUCUCGCCCUCAAGACUGGGUAUGUGGUUGAUGUGUUUGUUGGGAAUUCCAUUGUUGAUAUGUAUGCCAAGUGUGGCAAAAUUUGGUGUGCGAGGAAGGUUUUUGAUGAAAUGCCCGAACGAAAUGUUGUUUCUUGGAGUGGGAUGAUAUUUGGGUACGUGCAGAUGGGUGAGGAUGAAGAGGCUCUGGGAUUGUUUAAGAUGGUGAUGGCUGACGCAAAUGUUAGGGUUAAUGAUUUUACUUUGUCUAGUGUUUUGAGGGUUUGUGGAGGAUCCACAUUGCUUGAGUUGGGGAAGCAAGUACAUGGAUUGUGCUUUAAGACGAGCUUUGAUUCGUCGAGUUUUGUGGGGAGUUCAUUGAUUUCUUUGUACUCUAAGUGUGGGGUUGUGGAAGGAGCUUACCUGGUUUUUGAGGAGGUGAAGGAUAGAAACCUUGUCAUAUGGACUGCAAUGCUGGUUGCAUGCGCUCAGCAUGCCCAUACGAGUAAAACAUUUGAGCUCUUCAAGGAGAUGGAGAGUGUUGGGAUGAAGCCUAAUUUCAUUACCUUUUUGUGCAUGCUCUAUGCUUGUAGCCACACUGGGUUGGUUGAGGAGGGACAGUAUUACUUUGAGAUGAUGAGAGGCUAUGGCAUUGAACCAGGGGUACAACAUUAUUGCACAAUGGUGGAUUUGCUUGGCCGUGCAGGGAAGUUGCAGGAAGCAGUUCAGGUGGUUCAAGAGAUGCCUAUGCAACCAACAGAAUCUGUCUGGGGAGCUUUGUUGACGGGGUGUAGAAUACACGGGAACACUGAAUUGGCAUCAUAUGUGGCUGAUAGAGUUUUUGAAUUAGGUUCAUUGAGCGCAGGCGUUCAUGUAUUGCUCAUUAAUGCUUAUGCUGCUGCUGGUAGAUGGGAGGAAGCGGCAAGGGCAAGGAAGAUGCUGAGGGAUCGAGGAAUAAAGAAGGAAACUGGUUUGAGUUGGGUGGAGGAAGGGAAUAAAGUUCACACGUUUGUUGCCAGGGAUAGGUCUCACGCAAAGACCACGGAAAUCUAUAAGAAGUUGGAGGAGUUAGGAGAAGAAAUGGAGAAGGCUGGUUAUGUUGCAGACACAUCUUUUGUGCUGAAAGAGGUGAGAGGCGAAGAGAAGAAUGAGACUAUAAGGUAUCAUAGUGAAAGGUUGGCCAUAGCAUUUGGCCUCAUUACUUUCCCGAAGGAGCGACCAAUCAGAGUGAUGAAGAAUCUGCGUGUCUGUGGCGAUUGCCACACUGCAAUCAAGUUCAUUAGCAAGUGCACUGGGAGGGUGAUCAUUGUGAGGGACAAUAACAGGUUCCACCGGUUUGAGGAUGGGAAAUGCACUUGUGGAGAUUAUUGGUGAUCAUAAUGAUGCUGAAUGACAUUAGACUACUGAUAACAAAGUUGGAGCAGUUCAUGACUAUAAUACAUCGUUCUUGAAGAACUGUUUUGUCGUUUGAACAUUCUUGUCCUUUAGUGGAAAGUUUCCUCUUUGCUUGGGAACGUUACCAUCUAGCUUGGUUCCAAAGGAUCUAUGUAGCAGCGUCCAGCAGUUUCCGGUUUUUGGUUGCAUGGAGUCAUGGACAAGGCAUUUUUCUUUAAGCAAUUAGCAGUGGAUAGUGGAUACUCAGGUAUGAUAUUCAGGCUUCCACACCCUUGAUGCGAGAUUGUUGAGGACAAUUGGUUUGGCUAAACAAAAGGAAGGAUUAUAUUAUCUCAUUGUGAAUGCUAUGAAGGACAAACCCACAACCACAUUUUAGGUCCCAACUUAUUAAAUAAUGCCAUUACCACACCAAUGACAAACAAAAAUAUAUGCAACAUUUCAGGUUCUAGCGGUGGAAAAGAGCAAAAGAUGUACAAUGCAUGGCGUGUUGGGAGCGUCUCCGCAAAAUGUUUGUCGACAUUCGCAACGAGGGAUCUCCAACUGAUUGUGAUAGAACCAGCACUAGCAGAAUGGUCCAAACUUGUUAGCAGUAGACGUUUUUCUAUCAGAUUGGAUUUUCGAUGAAAUUCUUGCACAACUUAGGGAGUAUUGGGCUAUGGAGGAAUAUGGAGAUACGAUGUCCAAGUCCAACACAGAAGAAUCGGUGCACACUUGCAGCUCCACUAUGUAUGUGGUCACGACCAAAAUAUGGACCGCUUUGAGGAGAACAUGGUGAAAGCCACCGACCGUGCCACACAAGUUGCUGCAACAUAGAUUCGCCCUCCAUUUGAGAGGAGGUGGGGACACAGACGGUUGUUAGACGCAACUGUGGGAGGGUGUAUAUAGUCGGAUGAGUCAACACAGCUACUACACCAGGAUUCUAUGAUGCAGCUGGGACACCAGAUGACCUAUACAUCGCCAAUGAACCGGAAGAUCUGAGGGAUCAUAUUAGCCUACACAAGGAGAUGAAUUAGCAAUUGGAGCAGCACAGGAUGAGGUAUGAAAAGAUGGAUACCAUCAAGAGCAAGUUGAGUGGAGGUAGACUCAUCACAGGCAGCUAGAGGAGAUCACUCGCCUCCAGCACAUGGUUGACAAACAAUAUCAAGAGUUCACUGGUUUGGAGAGCACAGUAUGUCAGAUCUACAACUUAAUGCAAUCGAUGCAGAGGCAGAGCGACUCUCCCGCAAUAUUCCUAUGCCCUUGCACCUUCUUUCAUGGCCAGCGGUGCCUCACAGUUGCUGCAAGCUGAUGAUCCACUACCACCGCCACCACCUUGACGCCUUAGCCAUUGGUAAAAAGCAACAGCCUUGUAGUGUUACUCCAUUAUUUUUCAUAUUUUUCAGAUAUGGAUGUCUAGUUGAGUUUUGAUAAGCCUACUUUACUAUAGUUGUUGGUUGGUAAACAUUUUAUCUUUAAAUGUUUCGUACUAAGUAAAAAGUGUUUCACUUAUUAGUUAAACAAAUUAAUUU